rnacentral:rRNA from 1 species
UAGGGAAUCUUCCGCAAUGGGCGAAAGCUUGACGGAGCAACGCCGCGUGAGUGAUGAAGGUCUUCGGAUCGUAAAACUCUGUUAUUCGGGAAGAACAAAUGUGUAAGUAACUAUGCACGUCUUGACGGUACCUAAUCAGAAAGCCACGGCUAACUACGUGCCAGCAGCCGCGGUAAUACGUAGGUGGCAAGCGUUAUCCGGAAUUAUUGGGCGUAAAGCGCGCGUAGGCGGUUUUUUAAGUCUGAUGUGAAAGCCCACGGCUCAACCGUGGAGGGUCAUUGGAAACUGGAAAACUUGAGUGCAGAAGAGGAAAGUGGAAUUCCAUGUGUAGCGGUGAAAUGCGCAGAGAUAUGGAGGAACACCAGUGGCGAAGGCGACUUUCUGGUCUGUAACUGACGCUGAUGUGCGAAAGCGUGGGGAUCAAACAGG